AGUGAACGCUGGCGGUAGGCCUAACACAUGCAAGUCGAACGGCAGCACAGUAAGAGCUUGCUCUUACGGGUGGCGAGUGGCGGACGGGUGAGGAGUACAUCGGAAUCUACUUUUUCGUGGGGGAUAACGUAGGGAAACUUACGCUAAUACCGCAUACGACCUACGGGUGAAAGCAGGGGAUCUUCGGACCUUGCGCGAUUGAAUGAGCCGAUGUCGGAUUAGCUAGUUGGCGGGGUAAAGGCCCACCAAGGCGACGAUCCGUAGCUGGUCUGAGAGGAUGAUCAGCCACACUGGGACUGAGACACGGUCCAGACGCAUACGGGAGGCAGCAGUGGGGAAUAUUGGACAAUGGGCGCAAGCCUGAUCCAGCCAUACCGCGUGGGUGAAGAAGGCCUUCGGGUUGUAAAGCCCUUUUGUUGGGAAAGAAAAGCAGCAGGUUAAUACCCCGCUGUUCUGACGGUACCCAAAGAAUAAGCACCGGCUAACUUCGU
rnacentral:rRNA from 1 species